rfam:Alligator sinensis unplaced genomic scaffold scaffold280_1, whole genome shotgun sequence
GGUGCCAUGGCUUAGUAGGUUAGAGUACCUGUCUUGUAAACAGGAAAUCCCAGGUUUCCAGUGAUACCC